ACCCACCCAGACAUCAUCACAUCCCAUUAAUGCAAGUUUUUUGCACUCUGUGCAUGCACUGAAGGCCCUGCGCAUGUGCAGAUGUGACACAUUUGCGAACUGGUAUCGAAGUCAGCCUGGAUUUGGCAUUUUUGUCUGCCUAGCAAAUCCUUUCCAAGGACCUGGGAUAGGCAGAUGUCGAUGUUGGACGGUGUCACAGAUAUCGUUGCAGAAUGUAAGCUGUUCCAGAAUUUACUUUGGAAAAACUACUUGAUUUGCCUUCACUUGAUAAUGGAUGCAUACAGCAUUAUAAAUGGAUAUGUUUAUUUCUGUGUCAACUAAGGGUGAAGACAUACGGAGUUUGUGGGAAGAGAAUCUGGUUGUUUACAACCUACAGUGACCUUUUCAAUGUCUGAUGCUGGUGCUUGCCUGCAAAAACAAUAAA